GCAGUCGAACGGCAGCACAGAGAGAGCUUGCUCCUUGGGUGGCGAGUGGCGGACGGGUGAGGAAUACAUCGGAAUCUACUUUUUCGUGGGGGAUAACGUAGGGAAACUUACGCUAAUACCGCAUACGACCUACGGGUGAAAGCAGGGGACCUUCGGGCCUUGCGCGAUUGAAUGAGCCGAUGUCGGAUUAGCUAGUUGGCGGGGUAAAGGCCCACCAAGGCGACGAUCCGUAGCUGGUCUGAGAGGAUGAUCAGCCACACUGGAACUGAGACACGGUCCAGACUCCUACGGGAGGCAGCAGUGGGGAAUAUUGGACAAUGGGCGCAAGCCUGAUCCAGCCAUACCGCGUGGGUGAAGAAGGCCUUCGGGUUGUAAAGCCCUUUUGUUGGGAAAGAAAUCCAGCUGGCUAAUACCCGGUUGGGAUGACGGUACCCAAAGAAUAAGCACCGGCUAACUUCGUGCCAGCAGCCGCGGUAAUACGAAGGGUGCAAGCGUUACUCGGAAUUACUGGGCGUAAAGCGUGCGUAGGUGGUCGUUUAAGUCCGUUGUGAAAGCCCUGGGCUCAACCUGGGAACUGCAGUGGAUACUGGGCGACUAGAGUGUGGUAGAGGGUAGCGGAAUUCCUGGUGUAGCAGUGAAAUGCGUAGAGAUCAGAGGAACAUCCAUGGCGAAGCAGCUACCUGGACCAACACUGACACUGAGCACGAAAGCGUGGGAGCAACAGAUUAGAUACCCUGGUAGUCCACGCCCUAACGAUGCGAACUGAUGUGGUGCAUUUGGCACGCAGUAUCGAGCUACGCGUUAAGUUCGCGCCUGGGAGUACGUCGCAGACUGAAACUC
rnacentral:rRNA from 1 species